AGUUCCAUUCAGUAACAGAACCUCAUUGGAAAAUUCGCUGAUUUAACUUUACUGUGCUCUUGUUCAAAUAUACCAACUCAACAGCACAUAAAUCCAUACCUGUUAACAAAAUCAUGAUUUUAUUGAUAAUUCGGCUCAAUAAAAACACCUUUACCUUUUCAUUUUACUACAGUAGAAGUUUAUUGGCCCAGCUUAUAGACUACAGAGGUGGAGAAACGCCCCCGCUUAAGUUUGUUUUUUUAGGAGUUAGAACAACUCUGA